CACGUAGGGGCGAGCGUUGUCCGGAUUUAUUGGGCGUAAAGAGCUCGUAGGCGGCUCGGUAAGUCAGGUGUGAAACUCUAGGCUCAACCUAGAGACGCCACCUGAUACUGCUGUGGCUAGAGUCCGGUAGGGAGCAUGGAAUUCCUGGUGUAGCGGUGAAAUGCGCAGAUAUCAGGAGGAACACCAGUGGCGAAGGCGGUGCUCUGGCCGGAACUGACGCUGAGGAGCGAAAGCGUGGGAGCAACAGG
rnacentral:rRNA from 1 species